rnacentral:rRNA from 1 species
UGCCCACUGAUAAUUUAUUAAAGGGCUGCAGUAAUUUGACUGUACAAAGGUAGCAUAAUCAUUAGUCAUUUAAUUGAUGACUUGUAUGAAGGAUUGGAUGAAAUAUAAACUGUCUUAAAUAUAAAUUAUAUAAUUUAAUUUUUUAGUUAAAAAGCUAAAAUAUUUUAAAAAGACGAGAAGACCCUAUAGAGUUUUAUUUUUAUUUUAUUAAAAGUUAUUUAUAAAUUUAAUAAUAUUUAUUUAAAUAAAAGUUUUGUUGGGGUGAUAGAAAAAUUGAAUUAACUUUUUUUUAAAAAAAAAUUAACAUAAAUAAGUGAAUAAAUGAUCCAGUUUUACUGAUAAUAAGAAAAAAUUACCUUAGGGAUAACAGCGUAAUUUUGAUUUUUAGUUCAUAUAAAAAUUAAAGUUUGCGACCUCGAUGUUGGAUUAAGAUAAAAUUUAAAUGCAGAAGUUUAAAGUUUUGA